rnacentral:lncRNA from 1 species
AUUAAUAAUAUACGUGUAUAAUGAGUUCACAAGUUUAUAUUUAAGUCUUGUUUUUCUUCAUAAAAAAAAGGCAUAAAUAGCCUAAAAGUCAACUUUAUGGCCAAUUAUAAAUGUUCUUUUAUUUAUAUGACAAUUUUCACAGAAGAUCGAUAUAAUAUAACACAGAAAAUCGAUAAGUAAAAUACUCCAUAGAACAUCUUUGUAGGUCUUUUUCUUAUGUUCAAACUGUAAUUGGCUAUAGGAGGUCAUUUUGUAGAAAACUGAGGUACAAAACGACAAUAAUUUCGGUAUAGAAAGUAGAAAAUUUUACAUGGUAUAAUUAAAUUAUACAUUAUAUUUAUCAUAAAUAAAUACACUUUAAACUAAUUAUAAUACAUAACUGCAUAUUGGGUUUUAUAGCAAAUAUCCUCUCUAAGUGAUUUCUAACCCUAAAAUAACUUUUUCCUCUCUUCCUCUUUUAUCUUCGUACUAUAGCCUAACCGCCUCCCCCAUCUCCCUUAAACUCUCUCUAUCUCUCUUGUGUUACAAUCUCGGUGGAGAACCACCGCCAGCCUAACCCGUCUGAACACUGUCAUCCGACCUCAUAUUUAUUUAUUUUCUCCUUUGUACUCUCUCUUCUCUCACCCGCUAUGAAAAUUCCUCAAUUUAGUACCUCAAAUUCCUCAAUUCAGAUCGGCCUCGUCAAUUCAGAUCGGCCUCGUCAUUACCUCCACCGCUGCCUUCAUCUCUGGUUGGAAUCUAUGGCCAACCGGUCGGAUUUCUCAUAUCCGAGUGCAUUGCCUUAGAAAUGCAUUUGUUUUCACCUUCUCUUCUGCUAGUCCAAAUGUUGCAUUCAUUAUCACGUACAUAUUCUAUUUGUCUAAAGAGAAAACAAACUUUUUUUUUAGAAUAACACCCAAAUAUUUUACUCAAAUAAUGCAAUAUGCUUUACCUAUAUUUAACAUUCCAGAAAAAGUAUAUUAGCCCUCCAUCAUAUAAUAGUAUCUCAGGUGUAACACUCCUCAAAUCUAUAGAAAUUUCAACACUCGCUAAAUAUAGAAUUAAUUUUUUUUUAAUCUUAAAUUAUACUUCUAUUACAGAUUUAAACCCUUGUUAUUGAUUUUUGAGUUACUUCUUUAUUUAUAAAGAAUUGGAUAUAUAUUUAGGGGAAUAUUAAUAAUUUUAAUAUUAGUAAUUUUUAAAAGUGAGUAUCAUUAAUUAUUAGUUAAGGCAAAAUAAAACAAAACAAAAAGAGAAAAAUAAUAAUAAAAAAAAAGGGCUUAAAGCCUUGGAAUGGUAAGAAACGUAUUUGUUUUAAAAAGGGCAAAAGGCUUGAAAGCAAAAGUCUGAAGGCCGAAAAGCCUUAUAGGAAGCCUUAUAGGAACAAGACAGAAGGCUUAAACUCACGUAAGCCUCAAGCCUCAUGCGGAAAAGAGAAACAGAACGAGAAACAUUGGCAGCAAGACUAUUUACGCAAACAAAAAUUCUAAGUUUUUUUACAAAUCACUAAUUCUUAAACUCAGGUAUAUAAAAUUCCCUAUUGUCAAUUAUCCUAAAGUAGUAGUACGUAAGAAUUGAAUAGUUAAUUCCCUUCUUCUUUUGUAUCAAGAGUAAGUUCCAUGUUUAGGUGUGAAACUUUGAAAUUAAUUCAAAUACAAUGGUUGGCUCAAGGAGUUUUGAGGUGAGUUGAUAUAACCCUUUACUAAAGUGGUUUAACUCACAAAACCAUGUAUACAAGGUGUUUGAUGAAUUGCUUAAAAGAAUUUAUAUGUACUUAAUUGGAGCGAGUAAGUACCUAUUAACUUAGAAUUGUUCUAGCAAAAGUUUAGAUGAUUUAUUAUGAUAUAUGUGCAUAAAUUUUAGAUUUUUGUGUUAUUCUUAUAUGCCAUUUUCAUGUUGAAAAUUUAUGAAGAUGCAAGAAUCUUUAGAAAUACUUUUGAAUGUUUAUUUCAUUCUUACGUCAUGCUUUACAUUUAAGAAUAACAGUAUGAAUAUGUAUAGGAUGUUCCAGAAAGGAUUUAGACUUGAAAAGUCACAAGAAGAAGUUUUAGAAAGAAAAGAUUUUUGGGAGUAUCCUCUAUUCUGAGAAGGGAUCAUCGUCCAGGCCGAGGGUCCUGAUCAAGGCGUUGACUUCCUGAAACUACUUGUGCCAAAGUAGGGAGCACACGAGCCGAGGGUCUCAUUGCUGAGAAUUUACCUAGCCAUCUAAGGUAUGACACAUGAGUGCUAAGAACCAUGAAGCGAGUGGCACCUCGUGGAUUGGGCCUAAUCGAUCAGGUUGAUAAUAACUUAGCAAUAUUUCAUUUGUUACUACGAAUAAAGUUUUGGAGUUGGUUUAUUUUAGAUAUUUAAAUUAAUUAAAAGUAUUUGAUUACAGUAGUGCCUUGUGGCAUAUAAAGUUUGAAGCUAUAAUAGAUUUGAUAAGCACAGAUGGUUCGCUCGGUCAUGUUUAGUUAUCGGGUGCCGGUCCCGGCUUGUUCAGAAAAUGGGUCGUGACAUCAUGCAUCAAUAUAUACCUUUAAUUCCCUCCAUGUCGUAUAAGACACAUAAAGAGCGGGCAGUCUCAACUAACAGAGGAAUCCUACUCCACCAUUUCAUGCAAUUCAUCACCCAGAAACACAGAAUUUAGAAGAGCUUAGAUAUUUUUCUCUUUUUUUUGCAUUCAUACACCUUACUUUUCAAAUUCCCUAGACAUCUUAUGGACUGUAUUAAUCUUUGAACAUAUCUAAUAAUAUAACUAACUUUAAAAUGUUCCUUUCUAGCGAAACAUGACAUAUUACUGCCCUAGAACAUUUAAUCAGAUUCAUGAGUAAGUCGCAAACAAGUGACCAUGUACCUGAGGGAUUGUAGACAAAGCACAUAUGCUAUCUAAUUACACAUCAGAGAGCAUUAUAAUUUGCCUUUUUAAAACAAAUGAGCAGAUACUAUCAUGUAUCACCUUUUGACAUUUCAAGUGAAUUAGGAAUUAACAUAGAUAUCUAUCAAAAACUAAACAAUUCAAUCUUACGCCUAGCACCAUCAUUUCUCAGAAAUCCAGUUUCAUCUAUAGUGACAUUUGGGGUAAGUCCGGAAAUGAAGCACAUAUUAAUUGGGAAAGUAAGUCCCAAUUUCCAAAUAAAAGAUGGUCAAUGACAUGAAAUAGAGAGUUUACUUAUUGGUAGCUGCAUCAAAAUUAGAAGAAAACUUAUAUACCUGCGACUCUUUAUUAAUUUCGUGCUAAUCAAUUAACUCCAACUCACACCAAUCACCACUGGUCCAUGAAGUGUCUCGUCUCCACCAAAGAAAGGGUGGAGUGGUUGUGAAUUAAAAGGUUUCAUCAAGCGGACAAUACCUGUUAAAUCAAGCUUUCCGUUCAUAAUGCAUCUAGAGUGAAGUAAAACUGAAAGCUUUAUAGGAUUAUGGACAUAUCAACAAAGUUGGAUCAUCAAAAUGCUUAUAUCUGAUGAAGCCGAAAGAAUAUAUUUGAGUAUUAUACCGUAAAUAGAUGUUUCUCUUAAUUUAACAUUACUAUUUAUUUACUGCAAUUAGAUGAUUACUUAUUCUUUUAGGCAUUCCAUCAAACAUCAUGGGUGCAUCAGUGUGCAAAAAGAAUCAGAUUGCUUACCACAAAAUCUGAUUUUCCAUUCAUCAAAUGUACAAAAUCAUGUACCUAGGCAUCAAUUUUCCCCAUAUGGAGAAAACACAGAUCAUGCACCCAAGUAUUUUAUACCCAAACAUGUGAAGAAGAGGUAAAAAUAGUGACAUGCAUGUAAAAUAUAACCCAAAUAUUUUUAAAAUAAGAGGAAAACUAAUUAACAGAUAUCUCCAUCGCCAAGGAAUUAGUGCAAUAUAUUUAAAAAACGAAAAAAGAAACACGAAAAAACUCAGCGCAAGUCACAGGUACGAAAGAUGUGAAAAGAAAUAGAAAAUAGAAAAUCUAAAAAUCUAACCAAAAGCGAAAAGUGAGAGAGACGGAGUAAUAAUGAAGAGACCCGAAACAGAGCCGAAUUAAAGCACACAAAAGGCGACUGUUGAGUACACACCAACUAUUUGCAAACGGUGUGGUGUAGCCUACCUGGUGAGAAAUUUACCAUCUUUUAGAUGAAGAGAUUGAAGAACCAAGAAAGAGUAGAUGACACCAAAAUAGAAAUGAUAAUGGAUGACAACUUGUCUCAUACAAAUAACAAAAAGGGCUAGCACGUGUUGUUAAAUGAGGAAAAAGUAAGGACUCUAGUUGGAGAGUAAAGUUCCAAAAUACCCAUGACGAACAUUCAUAAUUACCCAAUUACUCCUGUUCGUACACUCCAACUAAAAAAAAAAGUAAAAAAACUCACACAAAUUGAUAAACAGAGAAAUGAAAACUUGGAACCAAA